GCCGCGUGAGGGAUGACGGCCUUCGGGUUGUAAACCUCUUUUAGCAGGGAAGAAGCGAAAGUGACGGUACCUGCAGAAAAAGCGCCGGCUAACUACGUGCCAGCAGCCGCGGUAAUACGUAGGGCGCAAGCGUUAUCCGGAAUUAUUGGGCGUAAAGAGCUCGUAGGCGGUUUGUCGCGUCUGCUGUGAAAUCCCGAGGCUCAACCUCGGGCCUGCAGUGGGUACGGGCAGACUAGAGUGCGGUAGGGGAGAUUGGAAUUCCUGGUGUAGCGGUGGAAUGCGCAGAUAUCAGGAGGAACACCGAUGGCGAAGGCAGAUCUCUGGGCCGUAACUGACGCUGAGGAGCGAAAGGGUGGGGAGCAAACAGGCUUAGAUACCCUGGUAGUCCACCCCGUAAACGUUGGGAACUAGUUGUGGGGUCCAUUCCACGGAUUCCGUGACGCAGCUAACGCAUUAAGUUCCCCGCCUGGGGAGUACGGCCGCAAGGCUAAAACUCAAAGGAAUUGACGGGGACCCGCACAAGCGGCGGAGCAUGCGGAUUAAUUCGAUGCAACGCGAAGAACCUUACCAAGGCUUGACAUAUACGAGAACGGGCCAGAAAUGGUCAACUCUUUGGACACUCGUAAACAGGUGGUGCAUGGUUGUCGUCAGCUCGUGUCGUGAGAUGUUGGGUUAAGUCCCGCAACGAGCGCAACCCUCGUUCUAUGUUGCCAGCACGUAAUGGUGGGAACUCAUGGGAUACUGCCGGGGUCAACUCGGAGGAAGGUGGGGAUGACGUCAAAUCAUCAUGCCCCUUAUGUCUUGGGCUUCACGCAUGCUACAAUGGCCGGUACAAAGGGCUGCAAUACCGUGAGGUGGAGCGAAUCCCAAAAAGCCGGUCCCAGUUCGGAUUGAGGUCUGCAACUCGACCUCAUGAAGUCGGAGUCGCUAGUAAUCGCAGAUCAGCAACGCUGCGGUGAAUACGUUCCCGGGUCUUGUACACACCGCCCGUCAAGUCAUGAAAGUCGGNAC
rnacentral:rRNA from 1 species